UACGAGGGGUGCAAGCGUUACUCGGAAUUACUGGGCAUAAAGCGUGCGUAGGUGGUUCGUUAAGUCUGAUGUGAAAGCCCUGGGCUCAACCUGGGAAUGGCAUUGGAAACUGGCGACCUAGAGUGCGGUAGAGGGUAGUGGAAUUCCCGGUGUAGCAGUGAAAUGCGUAGAGAUCGGGAGGAACAUCAGUGGCGAAGGCGACUGCCUGGACCAGCACUGACACUGAGGCACGAAAGCGUGGGGAGCAAACAGG
rnacentral:rRNA from 1 species